ACUGGGCUUAAAGAGUUCGUAGGUGGUUGAAAAAGUUGGUGGUGAAAUCCCAGAGCUUAACUCUGGAACUGCCAUCAAAACUUUUCAGCUAGAGUUUGAUAGAGGAAAGCAGAAUUUCUAGUGUAGAGGUGAAAUUCGUAGAUAUUAGAAAGAAUACCAAUUGCGAAGGCAGCUUUCUGGAUCAUUACUGACACUGAGGAACGAAAGCAUGGGUAGCGAAGAGGAUUAGAUACCCUCGUAGUCCAUGCCGUAAACGAUGUGUGUUAGACGUUGGAAAUUUAUUUUCAGUGUCGCAGCGAAAGCGAUAAACACACCGCCUGGGGAGUACGACCGCAAGGUUAAAACUCAAAUGAAUUGACGGGGACCCGCACAAGUAGUGGAGCAUGUGGUUUAAUUCGAAGAUACGCGCAGAACCUUACCAACACUUGACAUGUUCGUCGCAACUUUAAGAGAUUAAAGUUUUCGGUUCGGCCGGACGAAACACAGGUGCUGCAUGGCUGUCGUCAGCUCGUGUCGUGAGAUGUUGGGUUAAGUCCCGCAACGAGCGCAACCCUCACUUUUAGUUGCCAUCAUUAAGUUGGGCACUCUGAAAGAACUGCCAGUGAUAAGCUGGAGGAAGGUGGGGAUGACGUCAAGUCCUCAUGGCCCUUACGUGUUGGGCUACACACGUGCUACAAUGGUAUUUACAAAAGGAAGCAAAACGGCGACGUUUAGCAAAUCCUAAAAAAAUACCUCAGUUCGGAUUGCACUCUGCAACUCGAGUGCAUGAAGCUGGAAUUACUAGUAAUCGUGGAUCAGCGUGCCACGGUGAAUGCGUUCCCGGGUCUUGUACACACCGCCCGUCACACCAUGGGAGUUGGUUCUACCUUAAGGCAAGGUUUAAAACCCUUGACCACGGUAUAGUCAGCGACUGGGGUGAAGUCGUAACAAGGUAGCCGUA
rnacentral:rRNA from 1 species